GACGAACGCUGGCGGCGUGCCUAAUACAUGCAAGUUGAGCGCUGAAGGUUGGUACUUGUACCAACUGGAUGAGCAGCGAACGGGUGAGUAACGCGUGGGGAAUCUGCCUUUGAGCGGGGGACAACAUUUGGAAACGAAUGCUAAUACCGCAUAAAAACUUUAAACACAAGUUUUAAGUUUGAAAGAUGCAAUUGCAUCACUCAAAGAUGAUCCCGCGUUGUAUUAGCUAGUUGGUGAGGUAAAGGCUCACCAAGGCGAUGAUACAUAGCCGACCUGAGAGGGUGGUCGGCCACCUUGGGACUGAGACACGGCCCAAACUCCUACGGGAGGCAGCAGUAGGGAAUCUUCGGCAAUGGAGGAAAGUCUGACCGAGCAAAGCCGCGUGAGUGAAGAAGGGUUUCGGAUCGUAAAACUCUGUUGGUAGAGAAGAACGUUGGUGGGAGUGGAAAGCGCAUCAAGUGACGGUAACUACCCAGAAAGGGACGGCUAACUACAUG
rnacentral:rRNA from 1 species